UUAAUGGGUAUGCGAAAAGCAAAAGAAAAGAAGUGAUUGUGAAGCUUGCUGAAGAAAUGCUCCAAAAGGGAUUGACACUUGACGUGGAAACUCAUAGCAUGCUAAGAGAGUUGAGAAGGCUAUGAAAGUUGUAUGUUACAGAUGGUUGUAAGUUGAACGAGAACUCACUCUCAUAAUUGUAUCAUGAGUUGGACAGGAUGCAACUCCUCUUUGUUUACAUUGCAUGAAAGGUAUUGCGUUGAUAGUAUGUAUAAAAUGUCACUGUCUUUUGCUCCAAAAUAGGCAUACUUACUGCCUCUUCUCCCUAGUCAGCUAAAAGGUUUUGUUCUAUUUAGACUUGAGGUGGACCUGGAAUCUUGUAGUUGGGCAAAAUGUAUUGCUCAAUCUUUGCCAA